CGCGAGGAACUCGGUGCGCUCUGAGGACUUGGAGAGAGGGAAAAAAAAAAAAAAAAAAAAAAAAGGAAAGGAAAGAAAACACCCCUACCUGACAAAUCAUCGAGGGAAAAAAGGGGGACAGGACUUCUUUGACGCGCUUCCACCUCUCCAGAAGCGUGCAGAAGCGCGCGGCUCGUGCUGUCCAUCCUGCUGUCGGUGAACUGUGUGUGUGCGGGAUUGUACAGGAGAUGGCCACACGCGCGCGCGCAGAGGCCCUUCACGCGACCCAGUUAAUAAUGUCAGUGAGGUGUUCA